rnacentral:rRNA from 1 species
AGAAAAUAGAUACCCGGGUAGUCCACGCCCUAAACGAUGUCGACUGGUUGUUGGGGGUUUGACACUCUCAGUAAACGAAAGCUAAACGCGUGAAAGUCGACCGCCUGGGGAGUACGGCCGCAAGGUUAAAACUCAAAGGAAUUGACGGGGACCCGCACAAGCGGUGGAUUAUGUGGAUUAAUUCGAUGCAACGCGAAAAACCUUACCUACCCUUGACAUGUCCGAGAGCCCGCUGAGAGGCGGGUGUGCCCGAAAGGGAAUCGGAACACAGGUGCUGCAUGGCUGUCGUCAGCUCGUGUCGUGAGAUGUUGGGUUAAGUCCCGCAACGAGCGCAACCCUUGCCAUUAGUUGCCACCCGUAAGGGGGCACUCUAAUGGGACUGCCGGUGACAAACCGGAGGAAGGUGGGGAUGACGUCAAGUCCUCAUGGCCCUUAUGGGUAGGGCUUCACACGUAAUACAAUGGCGCGUACAGAGGGUUGCCAAGGAGCGAUCUGGAGCCAAUCCCGUAAAGCGCGUCGUAGUCCGGAUUGCAGUCUGCAACUCGACUGCAUGAA